rnacentral:rRNA from 1 species
AACGAACGCUGGCGGCAGGCCUAACACAUGCAAGUCGAGCGAGGACUUCGGUUCUAGCGGCGGACGCGGGAGUAACGCGUGGGAAUGUGCCCUUCUCUACGGCAUAGCGCUGGGAAACUGGUAGUAAUACCGUAUACGCUCUAGUGGGGAAAGAUUUAUCGGAGAAGGAGGAGCCUGCGUUGGAUUAGUUAGUUGGUGGGGUAAUUGCCUACCACGCGGUCGAUCCAUAGCUGGUUUGAGAGGAUGAUCAGCGACACUGGGACUGAGACACGGCCCAGACUCCUACGGGAGGCAGGAGUGGGGAAUCUUAGAAAAUGGCGGCAAUCAUGAACGAGCCAUGCCGGGUGAGUGAUGAAGGUCUUAGGGUUGUACAGUACUUUCAGCUGGGAAGAUAAUGACGGUACCAGCAGAAGAAGCCCCGGCUAACUCCGUG